AGCGAACGCUGGCGGCAGGCUUAACACAUGCAAGUCGAGCGGGCAUCUUCGGGUGUCAGCGGCGGACGGGUGAGUAACGCGUGGGAACGUGCCUUCUGGUUCGGAAUAACUCAGGGAAACUUGAGCUAAUACCGGAUACGCCCUUUUGGGGAAAGGUUUACUGCCGGAAGAUCGGCCCGCGUCUGAUUAGCUAGUUGGUGGGGUAACGGCCUACCAAGGCGACGAUCAGUAGCUGGUCUGAGAGGAUGAUCAGCCACACUGGGACUGAGACACGGCCCAGACUCCUACGGGAGGCAGCAGUGGGGAGUAUUGGACAAUGGGGGCAACCCUGAUCCAGCCAUGCCGCGUGAGUGAUGAAGGCCUUAGGGUUGUAAAGCUCUUUUAUCCGGGACGAUAAUGACGGUACCGGAGGAAUAAGCCCCGGCUAACUUCGUGCCAGCAGCCGCCGUAA
rnacentral:rRNA from 1 species